rnacentral:rRNA from 1 species
UACGAAGGGGGCGAGCGUUGUUCGGAAUCACUGGGCGUAAAGGGCGCGUAGGCGGCCCUUCUUGUCGCGUGUGAAAGCCCCGGGCUCAACCUGGGAAUGGCGCGCGAGACGGGGGGGCUGGAGUUCGGGAGAGGAGCGUGGAAUUCCCAGUGUAGAGGUGAAAUUCGUAGAUAUUGGGAAGAACACCGGUGGCGAAGGCGGCGCUCUGGACCGAGACUGACGCUGAGGCGCGAAAGCUAGGGGAGCAAACGGG